AGUGAACGCUGGCGGUAGGCCUAACACACGCUAGUCGAACGGCAGCACAGGAGAGCUUGCUCUCUGGGUGGCGAGUGGCGGACGGGUGAGGAAUACAUCGGAAUCUACUCUGUCGUGGGGGAUAACGUAGGGAAACUUACGCUAAUACCGCAUACGACCUACGGGUGAAAGCAGGGGAUCUUCGGACCUUGCGCGAUUGAAUGAGCCGAUGUCGGAUUAGCUAGUUGGCGGGGUAAAGGCCCACCAAGGCGACGAUCCGUAGCUGGUCUGAGCGGAUGCUCAGCCAAACGAGAACGGAGAACCGGUCCAGACUCCUACUGGAGGCAGCGGUGGGGAAUAUUGGACAAUGGGCGCAAGCCUGAGCCAGCCAUACCGCGUGGGUGAAGAAGGCCUUCGGGUUGUAAAGCCCUUUUGUUGGGAAAGAAAUCCAGCUGGCUAAUACCCGGUUGGGAUGACGGUACCCAAAGAAUAAGCACCGGCUAACUUCGUGCCAGCAGCCGCCGUAA
rnacentral:rRNA from 1 species